CAGCAUGGAGAGCAGAGCGCAAAGAUUUCCUCCAGACUCCCACAUUCUCCCUUGGAAUCCAAGAACUUGUCUACUAUCACAACACUUUAGUACCCACUUCUCCUAAGGAGGCAGCAGAAACCAAGGUAAUCACAAUGGUCAACAGCAGCGAAGGCAGCACUUUCUGAUUUUAAACUUGACUGCUAUGGAUGCCACCUCAGUUUAAUAUCUGUAAGUUUGGUCAGUAUCUCAUUCAAGAACAUUGCAUUUACUCUGGUACUUAAAGAUGAAAAAUCAACGUUUACAAAGCAGAUCCAUUGUUAACCUAAAUAACAAACAAAGAGAGUCUCUAUAAAAGAAUAAAAUAUUUAUUUGGGAAUAGAGCAUUGCAUAGGAAUAUGCCUGCCUUAGUAAUGCAUGUAUUCAGGGAGGCAGAGGAAGACAAAGGUUUUUAAUGGAAAAAAAUGAGGAGGAUUACAUAAUUGUUUUGAAAUAAUUAUCCUUGGCUAUAAAGAUCAAUAACAAGGAUGAUGCCAGUC
rnacentral:sRNA from 1 species